rnacentral:rRNA from 1 species
GGUGAACGCUGGCGGUGUGCCUAACACAUGCAAGUCGAGCGAAUACACGCGGAUAGUUCACCCUUGACGUUAGCGGCGGACGGGUGAGUAACACGUGGAUAAGCUACUUUUCUUACUGGGAUCACAUCGGGAGACCUCAGCUACUACAGGAUCAUAUAUUGAACCGUCUGGUUCAAUAGACUUAGACCGCUUUGUUGUCUCAUAUAGAUGGAUCCGCGCUGGAUUAUCUAGUCGGUAAGGUAACGGCUUACCAAGGCAACGAUUCGUAGCCGACCUGAGAGGGUGAUCGGCCACACUGGAACUGAGACACGGUCCAGACUCCUACGGGAGGCAGCAGUAGGGAAUCUUCCGCAAUGGGCGAAAGCCUGACACAGCAACGCCGCGUGAGUGAUGAAGGUCUUCGGAUCGUAAAACGCUGUUAUUAGGGAAGAACAAAAGUUUAAGAAACUAUGCACGUCUUGACGGUACCUAAUGAAAAAGCAACGGCUAACUACGUG